rnacentral:rRNA from 1 species
UACGAAGGGAGCAAGCGUUGUUCGGAAUUACUGGGCGUAAAGGGCGCGUAGGCGGAUGCAUCAGUCAGGGGUGAAAGCCAUGGGCUCAACCUGUGAACUGCCUUUGAUACUGUGCAUCUAGAGUUUGUGAGAGGGUGGCGGAAUACCCAGUGUAGAGGUGAAAUUCGUAGAUAUUGGGUAGAACACCAGUGGCGAAGGCG